AGAACGAACGCUGGCGGCAGGCUUAACACAUGCAAGUCGAACGGUUGUAGCAAUACAGCAGUGGCAGACGGGUGAGUAACACGUGGGAACCUUCCUAGGGGUACGGAACAACUCAGGGAAACUUGAGCUAAUACCGUAUACGUCCGUAAGGAGAAAGAUUCAUCGCCCCUAGACGGGCCCGCGUAGGAUUAGGUAGUUGGUGAGGUAACGGCUCACCAAGCCUACGAUCCUUAGCUGAUCUGAGAGGAUGAUCAGCCACACUGGGACUGAGACACGGCCCAGACUCCUACGGGAGGCAGCAGUGGGGAAUCUUGGACAAUGGGCGCAAGCCUGAUCCAGCCAUGCCGCGUGAGUGAAGAAGGCCUUCGGGUUAGUAAAGCUACUUUUACCGAGGGUACGAUAAUGACGUACCUGGAGAAUAACGCCCUAGCAAACUUCGUAGCCAGCA
rnacentral:rRNA from 1 species